rnacentral:rRNA from 1 species
GUCCACGCCCUAAACGAUGAUCACUCGAUGUGUGCGAUACACAGUACGCGUCCAAGCGAAAGCGAUAAGUGAUCCACCUGGGGAGUACGGCCGCAAGGCUGAAACUCAAAGGAAUUGACGGGGGCCCCGCACAAGCGGAGGAGCAUGUGGUUUAAUUCGAUGAUACGCGCGGAACCUUACCAGGGCUUGAAAGUUAGUGAAUGACGUAGAAAUAUGUCAGCCAGCAAUGGCACGAAACUAGGUGCUGCAUGGCUGUCGU